rnacentral:rRNA from 1 species
GACGAACGCUGGCGGCGUGCUUAACACAUGCAAGUCGAACGGAAAGGCCCUGCUUUUGUGGGGUGCUCGAGUGGCGAACGGGUGAGUAACACGUGAGUAACCUGCCCUUGACUUUGGGAUAACUUCAGGAAACUGGGGCUAAUACCGGAUAGGAGCUCCUGCUGCAUGGUGGGGGUUGGAAAGUUUCGGCGGUUGGGGAUGGACUCGCGGCUUAUCAGCUUGUUGGUGGGGUAGUGGCUUACCAAGGCUUUGACGGGUAGCCGGCCUGAGAGGGUGACCGGCCACAUUGGGACUGAGAUACGGCCCAGACUCCUACGGGAGGCAGCAGUGGGGAAUAUUGCACAAUGGGCGGAAGCCUGAUGCAGAAACGCCGCGUGCGGGAUGACGGCCUUCGGGUUGUAAACCGCUUCCGCCUGUGACGAAGCGUGAGUGACGGUAAUGGGUAAAGAAGCACCGGCUAACUACGG